UACGUAGGGGCUAGCGUUAUCCGGAAUUACUGGGCGUAAAGGGUGCGUAGGUGGUUUCUUAAGUCAGAGGUGAAAGGCUACGGCUCAACCGUAGUAAGCCUUUGAAACUGGGAAACUUGAGUGCAGGAGAGGAGAGUGGAAUUCCUAGUGUAGCGGUGAAAUGCGUAGAUAUUAGGAGGAACACCAGUUGCGAAGGCGGCUCUCUGGACUGUAACUGACACUGAGGCACGAAAGCGUGGGGAGCAAACAGGAUUAGAUACCCUGGUAGUCCUGAGCGGG
rnacentral:rRNA from 1 species